GGUUGAUCCUGCCAGUAGUUAUAUGCUUGUCUCAAAGAUUAAGCCAUGCAUGUCUAAGUAUAAACCAAUUCAUACGGUGAAACUGCGAAUGGCUCAUUAUAUCAGUUAUAGUUUAUUUGAUGAUCAACUUCCACUUGGAUAACCGUGGUAAUUCUAGAGCUAAUACAUGCACGACGGAGCGGGAGGCCUAGCCUUCAACCGCUGUAUUUAUUAGGUAACCAACAGCGAGGGGACCUUCACGGGUCGCCUCGUUUAGAUGAUUCAUGAUAACUUUACGAAUCGCAUUGCGCGAU
rnacentral:rRNA from 1 species